UACGUAGGGCGCAAGCGUUGUCCGGAAUUAUUGGGCGUAAAGAGCUCGUAGGCGGUUUGUCGCGUCUGGUGUGAAAACUCAAGGCUCAACCUUGAGCUUGCAUCGGGUACGGGCAGACUAGAGUCCGGUAGGGGAGCAUGGAAUUCCUGGUGUAGCGGUGAAAUGCGCAGAUAUCAGGAGGAACACCAGUGGCGAAGGCGGUGCUCUGGGCCGGUACUGACGCUGAGGAGCGAAAGCGUGGGUAGCAAACAGG
rnacentral:rRNA from 1 species